CCUACGGGAGGCUGCAGUGAGGAAUAUUGGUCAAUGGACGAGAGUCUGAACCAGCCAAGUAGCGUGAAGGAUGACUGCCCUAUGGGUUGUAAACCUCUUUUAUAAAGGAAUAAAACGAGGCACGUGUGCCUUUUUGCAUGUACUUUAUGAAUAAGGAUCGGCUAACUCCGUGCCAGCAGCCGCGGUAAUACGGAGGAUCCGAGCGUUAUCCGGAUUUAUUGGGUUUAAAGGGAGCGUAGAUGGGUUGUUAAGUCAGUUGUGAAAGGUUGCGGCUCAACCGUAAAAUUGCAAUUGAUACUGGCAGUCUUGAGUACAGUUGAGGUAGGCGGAAUUCGUGGUGUAGCGGUGAAAUGCUUAGAUAUCACGAAGAACCCCGAUUGCGAAGGCAGCUUACUAAACUGUGACUGACAUUGAUGCUCGAAAGUGUGGGUAUCAAACAGGAUGAGAUACCCGUGUAGUC
rnacentral:rRNA from 1 species